GCUCGAGUGGCGGAACAGGUAGACGCAAGGGACUUAAAAUCCCUCGGGAGCAAUCCCGUGCUGGUUCAAUUCCAGUCUCGAGCA
rnacentral:tRNA from 2 species